UACAGAGGGUGCAAGCGUUAAUCGGAAUUACUGGGCGUAAAGCGUGCGUAGACGGUUACAUAAGUCGGGUGUGAAAGCCCCGGGCUCAACCUGGGAAUUGCAUUCGAGACUGCGUGGCUAGGGUGCGGAAGAGGGAAGCGGAAUUUCCGGUGUAGCGGUGAAAUGCGUAGAUAUCGGAAGGAACACCAGUGGCGAAAGCGGCUUCCUGGUCCAGCACCGACGUUCAGGCACGAAAGCGUGGGGAGCAAACAGG
rnacentral:rRNA from 1 species